CCUACGGGUGGCUGCAGUGGGGAAUAUUGCACAAUGGGGGAAACCCUGAUGCAGCGACGCCGCGUGAGUGAAGAAGUAUCUCGGUACGUAAAGCUCUAUCAGCAGGGAAGAAAAUGACGGUACCUGACUAAGAAGCCCCGGCUAACUACGUGCCAGCAGCCGCGGUAAUACGUAGGGGGCAAGCGUUAUCCGGAUUUACUGGGUGUAAAUGGAGCGUAGACGGCAGCACAAGUCUGGAGGGAAAUCCCGGGGCUUAACCCCGGAACUGCUUUGGAAACUGUGCGGCUGGAGUGCAGGAGGGGAAAGCGGAAUGCCUAGGGUAGCGGUGAAAUGCGUAGAUAUUAGGAGGAACACCGGUGGCGAAGGCGGCUUACUGGACUGUAACUGACGUUGAGGCUCGAAAGCGUGGGGAGCAAACAGGAGUAGAUACCCGGGUAGUC
rnacentral:rRNA from 1 species